rnacentral:rRNA from 1 species
AUUAAACGCUGGCGGCAUGCCUUACACAUGCAAGUCGAACGGUAGCGCGGGGCAACCUGGCGACGAGUGGCGAACGGGUGAGUAAAGCAUCGGAACGUGCCCUGGAAUGGGGGAUAACGUAGCGAAAGUUACGCUAAUACCGCAUAUUCUGUGAGCAGGAAAGCAGGGGAUCGCAAGACCUUGCGUUCUGGGAGCGGCCGAUGUCGGAUUAGCUAGUUGGUGGGGUAAAAGCCUACCAAGGCGACGAUCCGUAGCGGGUCUGAGAGGAUGAUCCGCCACACUGGGACUGAGACACGGCCCAGACUCCUACGGGAGGCAGCAGUGGGGAAUUUUGGACAAUGGGCGGAAGCCUGAUCCAGCCAUGCCGCGUGAGUGAAGAAGGCCUCGGGUUGUAAGACUCUUCGUGGGGAAGGAAAGUUAGCACGGGUUAAGUACCCUGUGUAGAUGACGGUA